rnacentral:rRNA from 1 species
AGCGGAUGAAGGGAGCUUGCUCCUGGAUUCAGCGGCGGACGGGUGAGUAAUGCCUAGGAAUCUGCCUGGUAGUGGGGGAUAACGUCCGGAAACGGGCGCUAAUACCGCAUACGUCCCGAGGGAGAAAGUGGGGGAUCUUCGGACCUCACGCUAUCAGAUGAGCCUAGGUCGGAUUAGCUAGUUGGUGGGGUAAAGGCCUACCAAGGCGACGAUCCGUAACUGGUCUGAGAGGAUGAUCAGUCACACUGGAACUGAGACACGGUCCAGACUCCUACGGGAGGCAGCAGUGGGGAAUAUUGGACAAUGGGCGAAAGCCUGAUCCAGCCAUGCCGCGUGUGUGAAGAAGGUCUUCGGAUUGUAAAGCACUUUAAGUUGGGAGGAAGGGCAGUAAGUUAAUACCUUGCUGUUUUGACGUUACCAACAGAAUAAGCACCGGCUAACUUCGUGCCAGCAGCCGCGGUAAUACGAAGGG